AUUGAACGCUGGCGGCAGGCUUAACACAUGCAAGUCGAACGAGUGGCGGACGGGUGAGUAAUGCUUGGGAAUCUAGCUUAUGGAGGGGGAUAACUACGGGAAACUGUAGCUAAUACCGCGUACCCUAGGAUGAGCCCAAGUGGGAUUAGGUAGUUGGUGAGGUAAAGGCUCACCAAGCCGACGAUCUCUAGCUGGUCUGAGAGGAUGACCAGCAAACCUGGGACUAGAACACGGCCAAGAGUCCUACGGGAGGCAGCAGUGGGGAAUAUUGGGAAAUGGGGGCAACCUGACGCAGCCAGGCCGGGGGAAUGAAGCAGGCCUUCGGGUUGUAAAGUUCUUUCGGUAGGGAGGCGUUAACUACAGAAGAAGCAACGGCUAACUCCGUGCCAGCAGCCGCGGUAAUAC
rnacentral:rRNA from 1 species